AUACGUCAAGCCUAGGUAAGGUUCUUCGCGUUGCUUCGAAUUAAACCACAUGCUCCACCGCUUGUGCGGGCCCCCGUCAAUUCCUUUGAGUUUCAGCCUUGCGGCCGUACUCCCCAGGCGGGGCACUUAUCGCGUUAGCUUCGGCACGGAGAGGGCCGAUCCCCCCCGCACCUAGUGCCCAUCGUUUACGGCAUGGACUAC
rnacentral:misc_RNA from 1 species